UUUCUAAGAGGUAGGGUGUUCAGUGAGUUGACACUGUUUGGUCCUGUACAGCUAUGGUAAGAUUAAAAUAAAGUACACGUUUAUUCUGUUAUAUUGAAGGAAAAGGACUGUUCCCUGGCUCGUAGGUUUUCCAAUUCUCUCAGCUUUUCAGUGCAGGACUUUUUUUUCUCAGACACCACGGGCCAUACAGCGUGUCCAGAGGGGACCCUCCUGCCCUCUGGUGGAGUCCCUGAUGAAUUUGGCUCAUUUUCAUGAUGGAAAAGGAUCGCCUCAAAGCGAAAGGAAGCCGUGUCCCCUCUUCACUUUCUGUGGGUUGGGUCCAUUGCUGUCACUGCUGGACUGGACACCGUGUCUGCCCUUCAGAAGCUGGGCACGUGAUGAUGCUCCCCGACCCUCCUCCUGCCCCCAACUGACAGGCCCACCGCAGGCGUUCCCCUCAACCACCGGAGCUGGAUUAUUCACUCCUGGAACACAUCUUGUGGCAGCUGUAUAAAGAGGAUGUGGAAGUCACAGAAGCGAGAAAGGAGAGGACAUCGCCGUGUGACAAGAGGCGGAGACACAAGCCAAGGAAGGCCGGGGACUGCGGCAGCCAGCACCAG